GACGAACGCUGGCGGCGUGCCUAAUACAUGCAAGUAGGACGCAGUUGCGAACGGGGGAGUAACGCGUCGGUAACUGCCUAUUGGAGGGGGAUAACUAUUGGAAACGAUAGCUAAUACCGCAUACUAGUAGAUGGACCUGCGUUGUAUUAGCUAGUAGGUGGGGUAAUGGCCUACCUAGGCGACGAUACAUAGCCGAACUGAGAGGGGGAUCGGCCACACUGGGACUGAGACACGCCCCAGACUCCUACGGGAGGCAGCCGUAGGGAAUCGUCGGCAAUGGGGGGAGCCCUGACCGAGCAACGCCGCGUGAGUGAAGAAGGUUUUCGGAUCGUAAAGCUCUGUUGUUAAGGAAGCGGUACUUAACCAGAAAGGGACGGCUAACUACGUGCCAGCAGCCGCGGUAAUUC
rnacentral:rRNA from 1 species